rnacentral:rRNA from 1 species
UGAGGAACAUGACCUUCGGCGGGGGAGUAGCCGGCCCAACGGCCGGGUAAUACCGCGUACGACCACAUGGGGACAUCCCUGAGUGGUGAAAGCAGCAAUGCGCCGAUGGAGUGCCUCGCGGCCUAUCAGCUAGUUGGUGGGGUAAUGGCUCACCAAGGCGACGACGGGUAGCCGGCCUGAGAGGGUGACCGGCCACACUGGGACUGAGACACGGCCCAGACUCCUACGGGAGGNAG